UAGGGAAUAUUGGGCAAUGGGGGGAACCCUGACCCAGCAACGCCGCGUGAGGGAAGAAGGUUUUCGGAUUGUAAACCUCUGUCCUAUGUGACGACGGAAGUGACGGUAGCAUAGGAGGAAGCCCCGGCUAACUACGUGCCAGCAGCCGCGGUAAUACGUAGGGGGCGAGCGUUGUCCGGAAUUACUGGGCGUAAAGGGUGCGUAGGCGGCCGAUUAAGUUGGAGGUGAAAUACCCGUGCUCAACAUGGGGGGUGCAUUCAAAACUGGUUGGCUAGAGUACAGGAGAGUGAAGCGGAAUUCCUAGUGUAGCGGUGAAAUGCGUAGAUAUUAGGAGGAACACCAGUGGCGAAGGCGGCUUUCUGGACUGACACUGACGCUGAGGCACGAAAGCGUGGGGAGCAAACA
rnacentral:rRNA from 1 species